rnacentral:lncRNA from 1 species
AUAGCAUUGUGAGGAAUUUUUGACUUACUUAGCUUUAGUGAACUAUUUUUAAAAUAUUUGAAAAACAAAACUUACGCUUUUCAGAUUGGAUCAGGCCCAGUAACUGACAUGAGUUUGAGAAUCAAAACAGAGUCAUGUCGUGCAGGAGGGAAAAAAUAAAAUAAUUUUCUUUUUAACUCGGUCUCCUUCCUUCUGGCUCUUCUCCACCCCCACUGCUCUGCCAGCCCCACUUUUUUCUUGGAAGAGUCUCACUUAUUGGAGUCAUCCAGUGACUUUGUGCUGCCGUAAGUCCCCAGAUACGGCAUCCAGUAGAUUGCACUGAUCUGUCUUCUGAUGAAGCCUCCUCUUACCUCUUCUCUGCCAGAUGUAUCCUGGGUCACAAAAGACCUUGGCUCCGCUCUGCGUAUGUGGUGUGGAUAAAAAUUUGGAAAACAGACACUAAAAACUUGGAGGUAUUAAAAAGGCAGGAUCAUGCAGGUGCAAAGUAAUCCUAUUAUAUUAAAAAAUUUAGUUAUUUUUUAAAGACACAAUCCAUUUGGAAGGACAUACAAGAAAAAUAAGACUG